rnacentral:rRNA from 1 species
GUGGACUUGCUAUUCUCGAAUCUCACUUCUUUCCUAGACUGUUUGCAGGAGCAGCAGUCUAGGGUCUUCAUUUCUUGUUCUAAGUAAAGGCGCAAGCCGGUUUGGGAGGAGCCUGCGUCCUAUCAGCUUGUUGGUGGGGUAAUGGCCUACCAAGGCUUUGACGGGUAGCUGGUCUGAGAGGAUGGUCAGCCACAAUGGGACUGAGACACGGCCCAUACACCUACGGGUGGCAGCAGUUGGGAAUUGUUCACAAUGGGCGAAAGCCUGAUGACGCAAUGCCGCGUGGAGGAAGAAGGCCUUCGGGUUGUAAACUUCUUUUCUCAGGGACGAUUAUGACGGUACCUGAGGAAUAAGGGCCUGCUAACUACGUGCCAGCAGCCGCGGUAAU